AGGCUCCUGCAAAGAUAUUCAACUACCAAACGUGGACAAGCUGAAUACUUGCCUUGGUCAACCCAGUGCAUCCUGUGAUACGUCACAGGACCUUAUUGAUGAUGUUGGGCCUCUAGUGAAG
rnacentral:lncRNA from 1 species